rnacentral:snRNA from 1 species
AUCACUUCUUGGCCUUUUGGCUAAGAUCAAGUGUAGCAUCUUUUCUUACCAGUUUAAUAUUUGAUACGUCCUCUAUCCGAGCCCAAUAUAUUAAAUGGAUUUUUGGAGCAGGGAGAUGGAAUAGGAGCUUGCUCUGUCUACAUCCACACAUCGACCUCGUAUUGCAGUACCAGGUCGAUGCUCCCCUU